CGCGCGUGAACGUUGGCUGUUUAGAUUCGUCUUGAGGCUGUUAGCAUGAAAACGAUGAAUGGUGCGUAAAGUGAUUGAUCGGUCUGGAUCGAUAGGAAUUUGUAGCCGCGGGGACCUUUGUGACAGCUAGAUAUUAAUAGUGCAGUUUUCUGAUUAAUGUUCCAUUCGUUAAAACGCGAAAAAAAAGCGCAAAUGCGUGCAGAAGUCCUGCCUUCUGGAGUCGACACCACCCCCUGGCUAUGCAUCCCAUGGUUAAUAACCCUCUAGAGGUGGUCCCAGGGUUUCUCUUGCGCUGCUUCUUUGUUGUCUUAUUUGUACUUAUCAGGUGCUCGGAUGUGCUAGACACUCAAUUACAUAAAUAGAAUACACAUAAGUAGAAGGAUAGGGUUAAAAUAAAAGAGCCAACCUCUUGAUCUAGAGCACGAUACACUCAUUCGCAUAGAUGAACGCACGAGAUAACACACUGACUUGGGUGAUGUCGUGAAUCUACUAGCACGAUAUAAGCCAAAGCAAUAAUAAUGGAAGCAUUAAAGUGUAGAAUAAAAAUCUAUUAAGCUUAAAAGCCAAAAAUGUUUUACCAAAAA